GGCAGCUCUCUAACCACAACACCAUUAUACUAGGCCUUAGGCAUGAUCUUGCUAGUACCAAUAAGAAGAUUAAGGAAUUAGAGCGCCGCUGAGUUAUCUAGAUUAGACCUUGAGGCAAUGCAUCUUAGUUAUCUAUCUUUAAAUUCGGUUUAGGUUUACUAUUAUCGUCAGCUUGUUACUAUUAUCGUCAGUUUGCUACUAUUAUCGUCAGUUUGCUACUAGUGAUUUGUAAUAAAUGCCUCAAGAUUAAUAAAGAGUAUUAUUAUUAUUAUUAUGUCGUCUUGUGUGUCUCUACUUUAUUUUUGUGCAAGAAAGCAGAAAACAAGUAUGGGGGAGAUCUCUCGACAUGCCAAACACACUUCGAUUACACCACUCCACGAUUUAGGUACACACUCUGCACACUUUACACAUACACAUAUCUUGGAUUAUGCAGAAUACUGUUUCCGACAUGAUAAAUUAAAAAGAUUAAAAUAUUUCUAAUCAUGAUUAAUCUCACUCUGUGAUAUUUUCUGAAACAUACAAUUAUUGAAAAAAAUCAUUUUAAAAACCCUAUGUUACUUAAGUCAUUGUAGAAUAUGAGAUGGUAGAGUAUGAGUUUCUUAUUCUUGAUAUCAUUGUUGCCUGGAGAAUUUAUUUCAAAAUCUUUAAAAUUCCAGCUACCAUCCUCGGUGUUUUAUAUGCCUGAUAAAACUGAAAAUAUUAAUUAUGAUAAUAAAAGCUAUCUACUCUAUAUUGAGUUUGUUCAAAAUGAGUUAGACCCUUGUGGAGAGAUUUAUCAUGCUCCUAAGAUCAAGACACUUAUUCAGAAAGAUUCACUCUUCUGAAGUAUUAUUGCAUUAGAGGCAUGGGCUAUGCAAAAAUAAAGAUAUUUCGAGGAAAUAAAAAGGAGCAAGUGCUCGAUAACCUCGCAGAAAAAAUGGACAAGUGUCCGGCAGUAGAAUUAGGCGUACCUCGGUAUCCACAUUAAAAAAAAGAAAAGAGAAAAUGAUAGCCCAUGGUCCCUCUAAUAAGUAAUAUGCCACCAAGAGUUGACAAAGAUUUUAAUUUCCAAAGUCUUUGAUCUAAGAGUAUGACAUUCCCCUCCUCGGAUCCCGUUUUGAUCAGGCAAUAAAUGCAAAGUAAGUAUGCUUGAGAAUUUUUUGCAAAUUAAAACAGCCUC
rnacentral:lncRNA from 1 species